CUGCAGCUGCUUCACUUUUCAGCUGCCCCAUAAAUAUAAACUUUACACGUGACCUCGAGGUUGCACAUAUAGAUCUUGAUGAGUGUGCAUACGGGGCACUUUCAGUGUGAAGGUAUGUUGCUGCAGUGAGCUGUGAAACAGUGAAUCUGACAGGCUUUGGCACAUUUCCUUCUGUUUGGAUGUGAAGAGUCAUAAAAUCAGGACUGAUGUUUCUGCAGACCCCUGCGUGUUAAAAAUCGCUAGGAACAAGGAAUUGACUGCAGUGCUUAACUGCGUAAUGGGGGAGCUGGCGAUCACACAGUGCAACUGUUUCAUUGAGGCUGCAGAGGGCGCUCUGCACAAAGAAAACAUCUGAACAAUUCAAGUCCACACUGACUGUUUGUGUGGUGCCUUUAGUGUGCACCGUUAAUAAUCAUCGUCUUGAAUAAAGAAUGAACACUAAGAUGAAAAAGGCAAAUCUGCUUAAUGGGAGCAGAUGUUUGAACAGCUGGAUGAGUGUAAACAAUUGUGCAAAGGAACAACCUGAAAAUAUACAAAGAACAGUGAAGCUCUUAAGUGCACAUAGAGGUUGUGUUCAUAAAGAUCCACAAGUUUAAAUAUGAUGCACAUUUUAUUGAAAAAGUUCAUAUUACAAAAAGUAAAACUAUAUACACAGUGCUGGCUGUUAAAUGGAUAAAAUCUGCUACAAAGUGAGACAACUUUCAGAAGCGUUUUAAGCCAGAGGUUAAAGGACUGGAGCGGUUUGCUGGCUUACUUUGAGGAGGAAGUUCAGUCUGACAUUCAGCGUGAUGUUUAGUUCAUUCUUGAGGAAAAACAAAAGGACAAAGCGACAUUUCCUCCCAGUCACUGGCUCGCGUUCUGCCAGCCAAACCCUGAACAACAGCAGGGUUUAUUAGGUCCUGACAGAAGGAGGUCAUCAGGUUACUGCCUGUUCCGAGUUAAGAACAAUGGAGACGCUGCAGUCUUCAGGUCCACUUUGGCUGUGUUUUCGCUGCACAUAUUUUAAAACCUGACAUCACGACGCAUGGGUGAAUUUUUGAAAAAAUCAGAUACUGUAGCACCAGUUUAACAAAAUCUGAGCUGAUCUUCAGUCUGUGCAUCUGUCUAAACCCUGACCCCAAGCACAAA